rnacentral:rRNA from 1 species
GACGAACGCUGGCGGCGUGCUUAACACAUGCAAGUCGAACGGAAAGGCCCCUUUGGGGCUCCUCGAGCGGCGACCGGGUGAGUAACACGUACGUAACCUGCCCUUGCCUUCGGGACAACUACAGCAUACUGGGGCUAAUACCGGCAAGGAAUCCUUGCUGCAAGCGGAGGGUUGGAAAGCUUCGGAGGGUUUGGAUGGACUCGAUGCAUAUCUGCUUGCUGCUGGGGUAGUGGCUUACCAAGGCUGCGUCGGGUAGCAGGCCUGUGGGGGCGACCGGCCACAUUGGGACUUACAUAAGGCCCAGGCUCCUACGGGUGGCCGCAGGGGGGAAUCUUGCCCAAUGGGCGGAAGCCUGAUGCAGCAGCUCCGCGGGCGGGAUGACGGUCUUCGUGUUGAAAACCGCUUUCAGCAGGGGCGAAGCUUGUGGUGACGGUACCUGCAGAAGAAGCACCGGCUAACUACGUG